CCCUUCGAUGUUCUGGGCUGCACGCGCGCUACACUGAUGCGUUCAACGAGUGUACAACCUUGCCCGAUAGGGUUGGGUAACCUUUUGAACACGCAUCGUGAUGGGGAUAGAUUAUUGCAAUUAUUAAUCUUCAACGAGGAAUUCCUAGUAAUGGCGAAUCAUCAGUUCGUCGUGAUUACGUCCCUGCCCUUUGUACACACCGCCCGUCGCUCCUACCGAUUGAAUGGUCCGGUGAAGCGUUCGGACCGUGGCCUUUGGACGGUUCGCCGUCUGUUGGCUGCGGGAAGUUCGUUAAACCUUAUCAUUUAGAGGAAGGAGAAGUCGUAACA
rnacentral:rRNA from 1 species